CAAAAUUGGUAGGUUUUUGUUUUCUUGGUAGAUUGGCAGGCUGAACUCAAUUUUUGAGUGCAGAAUUUAGCCAAGCGAGGGGCCAAGAAGUUGCAAAGGGUCUCAUUGCUUCAAAUUUCAAGAAAAAGGGCGUAAGUUCUGAUAUUGACCGUAAAUGCUGGUACGAGUUUUAAUGGAUCUCUUCCAAACUUCGUAACUUAUGGAUGGGGAAUGCGGCUUUGUGCGUUUCGGAAAACAUGUGGCAGCUGCAUACAACGAUGGUCAAAUCUGGUCGAUUCUCAAAUGUUGAGGGAUACAUGCUUUUCGCUGUAGCAGCGAAAAUAGGAAUAGGAAAACACAUUUCUGGGCUCAAACAGCUAAAUGGACAGGUCGCUUUGUCCAAUCGGAACAAAAAUAUGACUUUAUGAACUCAAGAUUUCUUAUCGGGAGAUCGGUAUAAAGGAUGUUAUAUCAAAAUUUCAACAAAUAGUUUGUCGGAAA